rnacentral:rRNA from 1 species
AUUGAACGCUGGCGGCAUGCCUUACACAUGCAAGUCGAACGGCAGCAUAGGAGCUUGCUCCUGAUGGCGAGUGGCGAACGGGUGAGUAAUAUAUCGGAACGUGCCCUAGAGUGGGGGAUAACUAGUCGAAAGACUAGCUAAUACCGCAUACGAUCUACGGAUGAAAGUGGGGGACCGCAAGACCUCAUGCCUCUGGCGCGGCCGAUAUCUGAUUAGCUAGUUGGUGGGGUAAAAGCCUACCAAGGCGACGAUCAGUAGCUGGUCUGAGAGGACGACCAGCCACACUGGGACUGAGACACGGCCCAGACUCCUACGGGAGGCAGCAGUGGGGAAUUUUGGACAAUGGGGGCAACCCUGAUCCAGCAAUGCCGCGUGAGUGAAGAAGGCCUUCGGGUUGUAAAGCUCUUUUGUCAGGGAAGAAACGGUAGUAGCUAAUAUCUACUACUAAUGACGGUACCUGAAGAAUAAGCACCGGCUAACUACGUGCCAGCCGCCGCCGUAAUAC